CACACCAAGGCAUCUCUAGAGUGCUUCCCGACCCGCCAACUCCCGCCAGCCCCGACAAGCCACUGCCAGCGUCUCCCUUUCACCCUGCAGCUAAGUGAUUUAUGGUGAGUUGGUUUUGGUGACUUGUCUCGGGUGUCAGUUCUCACCAUGGUGCUGUGAAUGGCAGUGGGAUGUAAUGUUCAUGAGGCAUAGCACUGUCUGUCUGUUUCUGCAGACAUGGAGGACUCAGGAGUGAAGUGUUGCAUGUGGCACAGUGUCACUCUGUGAUGCAGAGCUGUGGGUUUGAUGAUGAUGAUCUUGCUGUCAAGAUCAUCAUUGUUCAAGUCAGAAGCAAAGCUGUGGAUGACUCACUACUAAAGAAGCAUUGUUUGUUGCCUUAAUGUGAUAGGUCAUGAAUAGGUAAUGAAAACAACCACCGGUG